UCUGAUGGCCAUACCACCCUGAAUGUGCCCUAUCUCAUCUGAUCUUGGAAGCUAAGCAGGGUUAGGCCUGGUUAGUACUUUGAUGGGAAAAUAGUUUCUUAUACUAGGUGUCAUGAUGU
rnacentral:rRNA from 1 species